GCUUCGUUUUUCUUCUCUCAAUGAGUGUUUUCAAAAGUGUAUUUUAUUCAUUCGAUUUUGUGUGUUGCGAUGCAAAUGUCAACUGCAUAGAUAAAAAUAGGUGACAACAAACGCUGUCCCAAAUAAUGUCAUUUUGCAAAGUAAUUUUUGGGGUAGCUACUUUUAACACGUGAGGCGCAUUGGGACACUUUUGACAGCAGCGAACGUUCCUGUAAGCCACUUCAAGACAAGUUCUAUUCAUUCCCACAUGGGGGCACGGCUACCCGAUUGGACCUGGAACGAGAACCAGCAAGAGCCAGAAUCAGGGUGGGGAGGAGGAUGCCUCAGCCGCUUCAACCCAUCCCAGGCGAGCCUUUCAGCUCCACGAGUAGGGCAGAGGUCAGGGCCACCUCGGGGUCCCGCAUCCAGUCCAGCGCUCCAUGUUGAUGAGCAAGACGACCUCACCUGCCAAGUCUACCGUGUCAAACACAGCGCAGAUCAGGGCCCAUCAUGCAGGACAGAAGUGCCUGUUGAGGAGGAGAGGAAGGACCCCUCGGCUGCCUCCAAUGCUUCUCACUGCCCGAACGAGGCAGAGGUCGUCGUGUGAAUGACUUUGGGACUCACGUAGUCAAGGUCCAGUCAAAAUAAUCCGGCUGAGCCUCCAUAGCGGACAUCAUCAAAGUGUCAGUGCACAUAUGGAGAACAAUGCCAGACAAGCUAAGCGAAAAAAAAAAACUUCAAACACAUUAAGACACAGUUAUUGAACAACAUGAAGUGUGUGAAAAUGCAAAUAUUUAAGGCAUCAUACACUUUAUAUGAUAUUUAUACAGUUACGUGUGUUAUUUGCAUCACAGAACGUUUGCUCACACUCACCAUUUGUGGUGCACAACUGACCUGAGGGCAAAAAAAAUAAAAAUAAAAAAAGUUAUUUACCCACUUUUAAUUACUAUUUCAUUGGGUGGAACAGUGUAGCAGCUGGAAAGCUUUGGCCUCACAGUUCUGAGGUCCCCGGUUCUGAUCCUGGCCCUCCCCGUGCCUGCGUGUUUUUUUUCCAGGCACUCCGGUUUCCUCCCACAUCCUAAAAAAAUGCAACAUUAAUUGGACACUCUAAAUUGCCCCUCAGUGUGAUUGUGGUUGCGACUCUUUGAUGUGCCCUGUGAUUGGCUGGCAACCAGUUCAGGGUGUACCCCGCCUCCUCCCCGUUGAUACCUGAGAUAGGCUCCAGCACUCCCCGUGACCCUCGUGAGGAUAAGCGGGUAAGGAAUUGGAUGGAUAGUAACUACAGUAUUAUUGGUCAUAUGGAACACACAUCCGAACACUAAGCAAACUAAUCAUAGCAGUAUAUGCAUUGUCAGGAAAAUAAACAAAUAUCUAAUAAAUACUGUGUAACAAUUUGAACAUAUACUGCACGAAAAAUUGGAUUCUGUCUUAACGCAGAUGAAAACCUCAGAAACACUCAAAGUAUUUUUUAAACAUGGCUGGUGGUAGGACUUUGAAUUAGAGCCAUGAAUCUCCACAGUUGGGAUGGAAUUGUGACAUUUCAAUGAGGAAAAUGGAUCUGAUAUUGCUGAUGUCAGCCUGAAGCUCCAUAAUUCCAAAUUUGUAGCAGUCUAUUUUUUUCACCAAUCUUGACUGCUCAGACUACACGUUUUUUGUCUUAAUCAAGUUAUCUUUUCAUGAAAAUUUAAUACUUUUUGGGAUUCUUGCCCUGCUUCCCUGAACUUGGGUCCUCCACACCUUGCCUUGCCUUCCUCGCCCUUCUCAUGACGGGUGGAGACACCAGAACGGUCCUCCUUCCUCGGCUUGUUCUGCAAAGUGGACAUUACCGUCACAGACAGGGCAGUGCUUGCUUCAUCUUGCAGACUGCACGCUACAGUGUUCCCUAUUUCUGCCCGAGAUGGACCUGACGUCGGCCCUGUCCAGGCAGUUCGAAGAACUGGAGGCGGUGGAAGCGGCCGUGGCGUCAUCCUCCUCCUCCUCCUCCUUCAUGUGCCGCAAAGUAGAGGAAAAGUGCACAGGGGUACCUCCACCCUGACUGGAAAAUAUAGACUGUAUUUAAGCAAAGAAAAUGAAUUUCUUCUCCAUUUAGGGUUAGGGUCAAAGGUUUUCUAAAAAUGUGCAUAGGCUACGGUAUGCUUUUUUUUUUUUUGUUUUACCAUUGCACAUAUAGCAACUGAAAUAAGUAACAUCACUAGUUUGCUCAAAUAUAUUUCCAAAGGCGGUUUUCACAUGACAAUUUCACAAAAUGUUGAACAACUGAAGUAAUCCAUAAAUACAAAAAGUGGAAGAAAUAACCUCAGAAUUUAAAUUUUCAUAUUGUGAAAUGACAGGGGAAACUGAACUCUCUGACAUUUGAUUACUUUCUACAAAAGCACUCAUUUGCAAUUUUCAGUCAUAUAACCGGAAUACUAUGAAUAAUUUGCCAUGACCAUUUGCUGAAAAACAGCCUCACAUCGUGUCUUCACUGUCGCUCUGGUGUUUUUCGGGCAAUGUGCAGUGUUAUUUCCCUUCAAAUGUGGUGUGUAUUGCGUUAUUCAGAGUUCAAUUUAGCUCUUACGAAUCAGGCCAUGUUGGCUUGUUCAAAUGUUGUUCAGCAACCUUUAAAUGAGCUUUGACUUUUUUUUUGGUCAGCAAUCAGGUCUUGCCAUGCAUACAGGCCUUGGCGACAGAGUACAUUACUCACCGCUUUCCUUGGGAAAAUAGUCCCUUUUAAUUCCAGGUCGCAUGUUUUUGGGAUGUGGGAGGAAACCAGAGUGCCCGGAGAGAACAUGCAAACUCCACACCUGGAGGGACGGGAUCGAACCUGGGUCCUCAGAACUAUGAGGCCAACGCUUUCCAGGUGCAUCGCCGUGCCGCCUUCUUUUGUCAUAUUUUUCUUCUCUGACUUGAAAUACAUUUUUGCUUUCUACCUACCCCUCCAUUUCCUUAAUCAGUCACUGAUUUUUAUGCAGCGGUAACGGCAAAUAUUGAUAAAUGGAGGCCAGCAAAAUACUUGAAAAAUCUUGAAAACCUGGGCUAAACAAAACAUUUAGCAUUUGCUCCAAUUUCACAAUAUGUUUAAAUGUAAUCCUGAUGUGAGAUGAAUUGAACUAAUUUGUGUUUAUCAAAAAAAAAAAAAAAACUAAAAAACGCGACACUAAGAGUGUCACAGAAGGUCUUUUUUUCCAAGCCAAAUCUUCCUCUUGUUUCUACUCUGGCAAGUUUUUUGUACACUCGUUUUGAACAUUUUGUCUCUUAAAAAGGCGCCCACGCGAGAAGACUCACCAUAUUGUGAUGUCGCCAGAAGGUAAAAAGCUGCUUUUUUUUCUUUCCCGACUUCCCUCGGAGUGUACAGGACAAAAUGUCGGUCAUAGUCGUUGUCAGUUAGCUAGCUCGCUCGUUAGCUUCGCCAUUGCUGCUCCUCUCGUUUGACGAAUGACGUCACCCAGAGCACCUCUUCACCGUGAAAUGUUAUGGCGAGUGGAACCAAACUUUAAUAGUAACGGGAUAAUGCAAGUCGAUUCAUACAUCAAUCUAAAAAUGUGCACAUGGAAUAUUUUAGAACAUGCCAUCAACACAUCGUUUGUAUUUUUCCCUAUUCGACAAAUCCACAAGGUGCUCAUGUUACACCUGCAUUUGCUCUUUGGGCAGAGUUCUCAUUUUUGAACGUUUUUUAUUUGGAUAAAAAGACAGAGACAUUUCAUGUAAAAUGUUGGAUCCUGAAAACCUUGUACAUUUCAGGUAAUUUAUUUUGAUUUAAAAUGCAUUAGAAAGGGGGGGAACUUAUUUUUGAUUCCAUGCGUAAGCUUCGUUCUGAGAGGAAACAAUUGAUUGAAACGCUUCAGGAGCCGAUUUCACAAUUACUGGACUGUACUCAGAAGAUAAAAGCAGUUUAUUUAGUAUUAUUGGUAAACUUUAUUCCCUUUGGGUUCAAGUGAAUUGAACAUGAUAAAGCCCUCGCGAAAAAGAACGAUAGACAGAAAGAGUGUGCAACAUCCUGUUGUUUCACAAUAAUGGCAAAAGAUCGUUAAGAGUGUUUGAUUGAGUGAUUUUUAUGUUUAAUCCAGCUGUAUUAUUGUCAAUCUUCAACAAGUCAUAUUGGAUAUCUCUAUGUUCUUGAGAAUGAGAAUAGAACUCACUCAUUUGAACUAUUGUUUCAAAGAGUUUUGUCCAAUACAUUUGUUAGGUUACAUGCUGUGUGAUUUAGAAAUAGCAGAAGAAGCUGCAGUACGUUGAAACAUAUCGCGUGUGAGACCUGUUAGCGGAUGCUAUUUAUGUGUUCUGAGCUAAACGUGUAUUCUGUAGUGUAUUCGGAAAUAAAAUAACUUUAAUUUGCUGCACAAAGAAUUGGGUGAUUCCAGUCCUGAAAGUGUAACACGUGCACCUAAAACCACUUUUUAUUUUAACUUUUAAACGACGCUACAUGUGUGGCAAACCCUUCUUUUGCUGUUUCUUCCAAAUAAAGGUACAGUGUACAUUUUGGAGGUGAAUCAUCCAAGGUUGACCUGACCAAAGGUAAUGUGACAGCAAAACUACACAUUGGUAAUAUCAUCUUCAGUACAUGUCAAAUGUCAUAAAAUUUAAAGCAUUGUAAAUGUAAAUUCAAGGUAACCAGCCAUUGUUUUGUCGAAUGGGUCGGUGUCCUUUUCAUAAUAGCCAACAUCAUAUGGAUACAUAAAUGACUCAGAGAAAACCAUUUGUUUUUGUUGUCCUUAUAGGCUGACAAAUUCCAGAUAUAUGUGGAUUACUGCUUGAACAACGCAGACUCCACUCAGCUCAUUCUGGACCACGCUGUAGACUAUUUUGACGUAAAUUGAAUGUGAAGAAAAUACAGCAGAUGCACCACUUGGAACAGCCAAUCUUAUCCCACCUGAUUAUGCCAGUGCAAAGAAUCACAAAAUAUCAGCUCCUGCUCAAGGUAAUCCCCCAAAAAAAGCAACAUAAAUUACGUGACAAUUACUCAGUGAACCCUGCCCCCCCCCCCCCCUAUUUCGGGGAUAGUAUACAUUUCAAACCCACCCGUGGGAGGCAUUAUUUGACACGAUAGAAAGACAAUGUAGAUAAAACAAAACACACAAGCUUUUUUCAAGACCUUGUAAAUUAACUUUAGAGAUUGGUUCAAUGUACAUGACAGAUGUUUGAAGUUGAUUGCUGAAAUUUAAAUUUCUGUGGCCCAAACUCAAUGGUUUGGUCAACAUGCCCAUGUUGUUUUAACGCAGAACCCACAGAUUGAUUAUUUUAGGAUUUUGAAGCCUCAUUUGAAAUGCUUUGUGUGUUUUUGUCAUGCUCCUGGAUUCCAGCCAGGGCUGGGCGUGGCCAGCUAAUCUGAAGGUGCACACCUGCGCCUCAUGACCUUUGAUUAAGACCCAGUACAUAUAGGACUCGGGGGACGACUAUUACUCUGCUAGAUCGUUGCCUCUCAUGCCUCGUUCCCGCACUACCGUACUCCUGACGUCUACCUCCCGUGUACCGACCAACGCUGUCUCCCGACCUACCCCGUAAGCCUGCCGUCACUGAUCUUGCUGCUUGUUUGGACUGACUCCCUGGUAACCGACAUUGGAACGAAUAAAGGCUUAUUCCGCACUGCUUACCUCUCACCUGAGUCGUGCAUUUGGGUCCACCCCCGAGUCUCGUCCGUGACAGAACGAUCUAGCCAAGAACAUGGACCCAGCCGACUCUGAAGCCAUUCGCCGUGCGCUGCAAGUGCAGGGCAAACGCCUGGGUGAGCAAGAGGCUGCUCUCCAGGGUAUGACUCACCAAAUCCAGGAGCUCUGCACCCAGCUGCAACCGUGGCUAGCCUCCCAGCUAGC